rnacentral:tRNA from 1 species
UAGCUCAGUUGUUAGAGCAUGGCUGAACACGCCAAGGUUGUGGGUUCGAUUCCCAC